AGUGAACGCUGGCGGUAGGCCUAACACAUGCAAGUCGAACGGCAGCACAGUAAGAGCUUGCUCUUACGGGUGGCGAGUGGCGGACGGGUGAGGAAUACAUCGGAAUCUACUUUUUCGUGGGGGAUAACGUAGGGAAACUUACGCUAAUACCGCAUACGACCUACGGGUGAAAGCAGGGGAUCUUCGGACCUUGCUCGAUUGAAUGAGCCGAUGUCGGAUUAGCUAGUUGGCGGGGUAAAGGCCCACCAAGGCGACGAUCCGUAGCUGGUCUGAGAGGAUGAUCAGCCACACUGGAACUGAGACACGGUCCAGACUCCUACGGGAGGCAGCAGUGGGGAAUCUUGGACAAUGGGCGCAAGCCUGAUCCAGCCAUACCGCGUGGGUGAAGAAGGCCUUCGGGUUGUAAAGCCCUUUUGUUGGGAAAGAAAAGCAGCAGGUUAAUACCCCGCUGUUCUGACGGUACCCAAAGAAUAAGCACCGGCUAACUUCGUG
rnacentral:rRNA from 1 species